UAUACCAUUCAGUACCUGGAUCUAAAAUGGGUGUAUUCUUUUUCAGAUACACGUUUGAGAAAGCUUUAGAACUACGUUGUUUUUAAAGAUAUACGAGUUAUUUCAGUUCUAUCUUGGAAGUUGUCUAUAUUACGUUGCUUAAUCUAGAAUAUAAUAAAAGAGAUGUACAUCUUAUUAAGUUUGUUUCUGACUUUUGCCGGAUCAGUGAUACCGGAAGUGCAAGCCAAUUUAGCAGACGAUUGUGACAGUGCAACCACCAGUCAUGGUGGAGUUGCUGUAUUUAUUUGCAUGAUCGUCAGUUACCUGGGAACAUGCUGGCUCAUCAGAAACAAACUUGAUUCUAACUGAAUAUGUGACCAAAAAAAACGACAGAAAAUAAAAACAACGACCUUUGAUGAAAACUUUUUUUCUAUGUUAAUUUCUAGAAGAAUGUAAAAUUUAUAUACUAUAUCCUGUUAUAUAAUAAUAAUAUUAUAUGAAAGAAGCAG